CCCAGCACCCUGCAUCUCUCAACCCCAGAGGACAGCUGCUGGCCACCUGCCAUGGGCUGACAGAGAUGCUCCCGGCUGGCCAUUUCUGACAGACUAAUCCUGUUUUCUCUGCAGCUGUGCUCAUAGGCACCUUGUCUUUGGUCACAUUUUUAUGCAAAUGAGGCAGGAAGGAUGCUGAAGCUCUGGCAGCCCGCCUGAAUGGCUGUCCCUGUCGUUGCAGAGAAAAAUGUGACAAGAAGCUUUCUCAAGAGCCCACGAGGUUCCAAGAGGACUUCCAAUGAGGGCAACUGACUCCGCCUCUUCCUACUGAAGGACUGUAGAUUUCAGGCACUCCUUCAAGGUGACAUCUCAUUUGGAUAUAGACCCAGCACAGGACAGAUAUCUACCCCAGACUGGCUGCUUAGUGGAGCAUUUUCAUAAAGCACUGCAGCCUGCUAGAUUUUGGUUGUUUCCGCCAUCAUAUGCUAUUUCUGAAUAUACAGAAAACUAGGUGAUGUUUUGCAUUGUGUAGAGCUCCUGGAUGACUACAUCCCAGCGAAGGCAUUAGAAGAAGCCGUUUCAGAGAUA